AAUCCUCAAAGCCCUUUUCUUUGACGAGAAAAGGUGUUUUGGACUUGGAGGUUCAAUGCUCGCUUUCCAUUCCGAAAGCGAGCUCCUCUCAAAUGAAUCAGUGGGGGUCCGCUUUGCUGGUCCUUGACGUGAUAAGAUGUUUCUACGUUUUGGAUCCGGCACUGUCCCUUGGAUGCCUGCUUCUAACCGUCUCAUAGACAAUGAUGGUGCCCCGGUCAACCGCCGUUUACAUCGGCGGGAGGCUUGGCCCACGACAUAAAA
rnacentral:misc_RNA from 1 species